CAGCCGCCGCGGUAAUACGUAGGGUGCGAGCGUUAAUCUGAUUUACUGGGCGUAAAGCGUGCGCAGGCGGCCCGUUAAGACAGGUGUGAAAUCCCUGGGCUCAACCUAGGAAUUGCGCUUGUGACUGGCGGGCUCGAGUACGGUAGAGGGGGGUGGAAUUCCUGGUGUAGCAGUGAAAUGCGUAGACAUCAGGAGGAACACCGAUGGCGAAGGCAGCCCCCUGGGCCUGUACUGACGCUCAUGCACGAAAGCGUGGGGAGCAAACAGGAUUAGAUACCCUGGUAGUCCACGCCCUAAACGAUGGGUACUAGCCGUUUGGUGCGCGAUAGCGCUGAGUGGCGAAGCUAACGCGUGAAGUACCCCGCCUGGGGAGUACGGCCGCAAGGUUGAAACUUAAAGGAAUUGGCGGG
rnacentral:rRNA from 1 species